rnacentral:rRNA from 1 species
UCGAUUUGGAGUUUGUUGCCCUGAGUGAUGGGCUCCGAAGCUAACGCGAUAAAUCGACCGCCUGGGGAGUACGGCCGCAAGGUUAAAACUCAAAUGAAUUGACGGGGGCCCGCACAAGCGGUGGAGCAUGUGGUUUAAUUCGAUGCAACGCGAAGAACCUUACCUGGUCUUGACAUCCACAGAAUCUUGCAGAGAUGCGAGAGUGCCUUCGGGAACUGUGAGACAGGUGCUGCAUGGCUGUCGUCAGCUCGUGUUGUGAAAUGUUGGGUUAAGUCCCGCAACGAGCGCAACCCUUAUCCUUUGUUGCCAUCGGUUUGGCCGGGAACUCAAAGGAGACUGCCGUUGAUAGAGCGGAGGAAGGUGGGGACGACGUCAAGUCAUCAUGGCCCUUACGACCAGGGCUACACACGUGCUACAAUGGCGUAUACAAAGGGAGGCGACCUCGCGAGAGCAAGCGGACCUCAUAAAGUACGUCUAAGUCCGGAUUGGAGUCUGCAACUCGACUCCAUGAAGUCGGAAUCGCUAGUAAUCGUGAAUCAGAAUGUCACGGUGAAUACGUUCCCGGGCCU